UGAAUUAUGUGGCAGCUGGCCAGCGUUUGCUAACCAGUCGCCACACGAGAAAAGUAAAAUAAAAAUAAACAGACAUACAUAUGAUUUUGACUUAUUUGCAUUUUUUAAUGUGGCAGCUGGCUAGUGAAUGCAGGCCAGCUGCCACAUAAUUAA